rnacentral:rRNA from 1 species
UACGUAGGGUGCGAGCGUUGUCCGGAAUUAUUGGGCGUAAAGAGCUCGUAGGCGGUCUGUCGCGUCGGUCGUGAAAACUCGGGGCUUAACCCCGAGCCUGCAGUGGAUACGGGCAGACUAGAGGUAGGUAGGGGAGAAUGGAAUUCCCGGUGUAGCGGUGAAAUGCGCAGAUAUCGGGAGGAACACCGGUGGCGAAGGCGGUUCUCUGGGCCUUACCUGACGCUGAGGAGCGAAAGCGUGGGGAGCGAACAGG